GUGUGCUAUUAUGUAGAAUUCACUGUCAACACUGCUUUAGAUGAGUGUAAGUCAUGUAAACAAACAAAUCUACAUACAGUAACUAAACACUAGUUAUCUAUUUUAUUUGUCCAUUUGCAAUAUUGAUAAUUUUAGGAACAUUUGUGUUGGAUAAAAAGCGAGUUACAUCAGUUACUAACUCAACAUGCAGAUGCAGUAUAUCACAGAUAAAUCACAGAGGUUACUUGACUCUUGUCUGGACGUUACAGGAACAGAUUAUGUUUAUCUGCUGUAGAGUGACUGAUGAAGGAAUGCUGCCAUCAAAGCAUUUGUAUCUUCUGUGGUGGAGCAGGACCUGCAAGGAAAGGGGAAAAAAAGGAAAAACCUGAAACAAAAGAAUAAAGUAGUGGUGCUCAUGGAGAUUAGCACACGAUUGUUUGGAGCAGACACAGCAGCAGUCAGAUUGUCCUGCAUGUGUUCUUCUGCUCUCGCUUCAAGGUAGUGUGGUUCAGAGAGCCGUCAUCAAGGUCUUCCUCAUCCUGUUGCUCAACGACAUCCCCGUUGAGAAGAGUGAGAUUGUGAAGCACAGCGCAGCAGCAGAACUGUCUCAGCUGUGUUGAGAUGAUAGUAAGAUGUGGGGUUCACCGUCUGUAAAUACAUGAUUGUUAGAACAGUUAGUUUGAAAGAAGCUUUGUUUCAUGUGUUGUUGACUUGUACAUGUCUGUAUUUAUUGUGAUGCUAACAUUUAUACAUUCUUUUAAUCAUUUAGACAUGUUUCUUGUUGUCAGUAAAUAAAAUAUAAAU
ensembl:lncRNA